GACCUCCCCCAGUCAGAUAGUCUGUGGUGUGAGGCUUCUUGUUAACACAUCACUGGGUUACUGGGGAUCUCACUGGUGCUUUGUGCUGGGGGAAAGGAAACCUGGAUGGUGAGAGCACCUAUGCAGCCGCUUGCCUUUGAAGAAAGGAUGAAAUGUGGCCAUUUUCUGGCCUACCCUCCCUGCCAGCCUGGAGUGGCCCCCAUCACUGUCUCCUGGAGUGGCUCUUGGAGCUGCUGAUUUUUUGCUGUGAGGAGGAAGCGCUGGCAGGGACUGAAGGGCAGCAGAAGGACGGCUCAAUUAUUCUGUGUCAUCUGCAAGGAGCUCAGCUCCUGUCGGAGUCCCAGCGGAGAGCAAUGGAACGCACUGCUUUUGAAGCCCUGGGAAUAUGGAGGUGUGGCCCUGAGCAGAGGAGCUGGACAGGAACACUUCUCUCACAUUGUCCUCAGUGAGGGAAUGACAUCUAAUUGCUGCUGCUGUUCCCAGGCAUGAGCCUGCCCCAGCAGCACCAGUACUGACGGUGGGCAGGCAGUGUUCCUCCUGGUGCACAGCGACCAUCCCCUCCUUUGGUCUUCGGUUAAGGCAAUGAUGGCUAUUGGCCUCCUGACUGACUCCUGCUUGCAGCCUACAAGGCCUGAGCACAACAAUUACCCAAACAAAAGACAACGAUUACUGCUUUUCACGAGGGACUUUUCUUCCUUCCCCUCUUCCUGGAGCACUCUAUUCAAGGUGAGGUUUCAUCACCCCACCGAGUUCCCCGAGCUGGGAGCAAAACUGCAGCCAGUCUGCUCCAGCUGACAGCCCUGGAUGCACUCUGCAGAGGAAUUUGUUCCUAAGCCCAGUGUGCAGAGCAUUAAUAACAUUUGCAACCCUCCUUGCUCUUCAAAUGUGCCAGAGGUUUGGCUGAACACAAACCUGGCUCUGUUAUUGUGCAGAAUUCCUGGAGCAGAAGAGCAGAGGUUGUAAACCAGAGCUCUUGGACCCAGGGAACUGCUGGACUUAGCGAGGUAGCAAAUAAAU
rnacentral:lncRNA from 7 species